AUCAAACCUGGUGGUUAUUACUGUCUAUCACAUUUUAUUUCUGUAUUUCACAGCAUUUGCUAUAAUGAGUACUUGGACAUCAAAAAUAUUUUCUUAUUCAACCACUAUUCAAAAUCUCAUAAAAAGGAAUAAAAAAUUGUCUGCAUCUUUCUUAAUCUACUACCUCAUGAAGCCCCACCAUUUUCUGUCUUCCAGAAGGAAUCCAUAUUCUCAGUUAUACACUUGGCCUGUUCCAUCAUGGGUGAAGGUAUGAAAUGGCAUGGGCGAUGAUGUCCUGAGAAUUCAGUAAAGGAGGGGACAGACUUGGGCUUGGAAUAAGACCCAGGAAUAAGCUUAGUUCAAGGAGAGGAGAAGAUGAGCCAUGGGGUUAGAUUCCUUGUUAGGUUAGGCUCAAUUUGGAUAUCUGGCAAAGUGUAAUAUCUCCUCAUUCCAGUGAGGACACUGAUUGAUGGAACUUCUAUGUGGGUUACUUCGCAUUCUUAAGAAAAUUUUUA
rnacentral:lncRNA from 1 species